rnacentral:tRNA from 1 species
GGUGGGAUAGCUCAGUGUACAGUGCAUGCUUAGCAUGCAUGAGGUCCUGGGUUCAAACCCCAGUACCGCCA